AGAGACAGCAGUAGCCACGGUAAUACAGAGGGUGCGAGCGUUAAUCGGAUUUACUGGGCGUAAAGCGUGCGUAGGCGGCUUUUUAAGUCGGAUGUGAAAUCCCUGAGCUUAACUUAGGAAUUGCAUUCGAUACUGGGAAGCUAGAGUAUGGGAGAGGAUGGUAGAAUUCCAGGUGUAGCGGUGAAAUGCGUAGAGAUCUGGAGGAAUACCGAUGGCGAAGGCAGCCAUCUGGCCUAAUACUGACGCUGAGGUACGAAAGCAUGGGGAGCAAACAGGAUUAGAUACCCCUGUAGUCCCUGUCUCUUAUAC
rnacentral:rRNA from 1 species